rfam:Procavia capensis cont1.301252, whole genome shotgun sequence.
UGGAUUACUUUAAGUGUAAAGAAUCUUAUCCCAACUUUGAAAUGUAUUUUUUACUUUAUAUUUGAAAAUGUGCAUGCAUGUGCAUGAACGAAGGGGAGAGAGGGAUAAAUGCUCUCGUGGGAGCUAGAAUCCACCGCGGUGUGGUGGCUUCUCGGACUUCAUCAUUACCAUUUUGGCCUGACACACGAGUUGGAAGAC